UACGAGGGGAGCAAGCGUUGUUCGGAUUUACUGGGCGUAAAGGGCGCGUAGGCGGCCACGACAAGUCACUUGUGAAAUCUCCGGGCUUAACUCGGAACGGUCAAGUGAUACUGUCGGGCUAGAGUACAGAAGGGCAACUGGAAUUCUCGGUGUAGCGGUGAAAUGCGUAGAUAUCGAGAGGAACACCUGCGGCGAAGGCGGGUUGCUGGGCUGAUACUGACGCUGAUGCGCGAAAGCCAGGGGAGCGAACGGG
rnacentral:rRNA from 1 species